AUUGAACGCUGGCGGAAUGCUUUACACAUGCAAGUCGGGCGGCAGCGCGGGGGCAACCCUGGCGGCGAGCGGCGAACGGGUGAGUAACACAUCGGAACGUACCCUGUCGUGGGGGAUAACGAAUCGAAAGAUUCGCUAAUACCGCAUACGACCUGAGGGUGAAAGCGGGGGAUCGCAAGACCUCGCGCGAGAGGAGCGGCCGAUGGCGGAUUAGCUAGUUGGUGGGGUAAAGGCCCACCAAGGCGACGAUCCGUAGCGGGUCUGAGAGGACGGCCCGCCACACUGGGACUGAGACACGGCCCAGACUCCUACGGGAGGCAGCAGUGGGGAAUUUUGGACAAUGGGGGCAACCCUGAUCCAGCCAUUCCGCGUGAGUGAAGAAGGCCUCGGUG
rnacentral:rRNA from 1 species